UACGAAGGGGGCUAGCGUUGUUCGGAAUCACUGGGCGUAAAGGGCGCGUAGGCGGCCUUGUAAGUCGGGGGUGAAAGCCUGUGGCUCAACCACAGAAUUGCCUUCGAUACUGCAGGGCUUGAGACCGGAAGGGGUGAGUGGAACUGCGAGUGUAGAGGUGAAAUUCGUAGAUAUUCGCAAGAACACCAGUGGCGAAGGCGGCUCACUGGUCCGGGUCUGACGCUGAGGCGCGAAAGCGUGGGGAGCAAACAGG
rnacentral:rRNA from 1 species